rnacentral:rRNA from 1 species
AGCGAACGCUGGCGGCAGGCUUAACACAUGCAAGUCGAACGAAGCCUUCGGGCUUAGUGGCGGACGGGUGAGUAACACGUGGGAACGUACCUUUUGGUUCGGGAUAACACAGGGAAACUUGUGCUAAUACCGAAUGUGCCCUUAGGGGGGAAGAUUUAUCGCCAUUAGAGCGGCCCGCGUUAGAUUAGCUAGUUGGUGGGGUAAAGGCCCACCAAGGCUACGAUCUAUAGCUGGUCUGAGAGGAUGAUCAGCCACACUGGGACUGAGACACGGCCCAGACUCCUACGGGAGGCAGCAGUGGGGAAUCUUGCGCAAUGGUCGAAAGACUGACGCAGCCAUGCCGCGUGAAUGAUGAAGGUCUUAGGAUUGUAAAAUUCUUUUACCAGGGACGAUAAUGACGGUACCUGGAGAAAAAGCUCCGGCUAACUUCGUGCCAGCAGCCGCCGUAA